UCCUCAGUAGCUCAAUGGCAGAGCAUCCGGCUGUUAACCGGAGGGUUGUAGGUUCAAGUCCUACCUGAGGAGCCA
rnacentral:tRNA from 1 species